rnacentral:lncRNA from 1 species
AAUACAUUUUUCUUGUUGCCCAUUGGUUAUUAUUAUUUAUUUACAUUGAAUUUAUAUUCAAAAACGUAGAGUCAGCUUAUGAAAAUGAAUGAAAACAGUUGAAAUGACUAUGGAUCACGUAACAAGAAAAAAUAAUAAACUAAUAAUUUCCUCUUCCCCCAAUGAGUAGUAUUUACAAUAAAUAUCAGUGAUAACUAUAAAUUGCAUAUGUCGAAGCACCAAACAUAACUUCUACUAGCUCACGCCAUUUUAACAGCUUUAUUCCAAAUAGUGUUGAUAAUUAUUUACUCUGACAGGAUCAACAUAACUCAUUCCCAAUCAAUUUCAAAUAUGAACAUAUACGUCAUAGCCUAUUAACAAACAAUAAAACAUUGAAUAAAAACGUGGAGAAGGGAGAUUGGAAUUUCCAAAAUUCUUAUGAGGCUUUAAUUAAGUCCACUGGGUGCUCGGAAUUAUCAAAUCAUUUCUACAUUUCCAUUCUAAGGGAAAAAAUAAUUCACCUUCAAUGUUCAAAAGCACUAGGAUAAACCUUACUCUUCAUUAAUAAUACCAUUUAUAACUAGCCCUAGAUUGGUAAGUAAUCUUCUUCAUUUUCCAAUAAUUAAAACAAAUCAUAAUGUUUAUUACAUUUCUAUUUGCAGGGAAGAAAAUCAGACCAAUGUUCUAAAUCUCGUUUUAUUUCAAAUAUAUAAUUUGUGAUUUUUUCAAGAUAAAGAAAGAGAUGAAAAAUGAAUGGAAAUGGAAACAAAUUCAAAGCAAGAAUGAUAAUACGAUUAUUAUU